rnacentral:rRNA from 1 species
UGGGGAAUUUUGCACAAUGGGGGAAACCCUGAUGCAGCGACGCCGCGUGAUUUAGAAGGCCUUCGGGUUGUAAAAAUCUUUUCUAUGGGAAGAAAAUGACAGUACCAUAGGAAUAAGGACCGGCUAAUUACGUGCCAGCAGCCGCGGUAAUACGUAAGGUCCGAGCGUUGUCCGGAAUCAUUGGGCGUAAAGGGUACGUAGGCGGGUAAGCAAGUUAGAAGUGAAAUCCUAUAGCUCAACUAUAGUAAGCCUUUAAAACUGCUCAUCUUGAGGUAUGGAAGGGAAAGUGGAAUUCCUAGUGUAGCGGUGAAAUGCGCAGAUAUUAGGAGGAAUACCGGUGGCGAAGGCGACUUUCUGGCCAUAACCUGACGCUGAGGUACGAAAGCGUAGGUAGCAAACAGG